rnacentral:rRNA from 1 species
AAAUUGAAGAGUUUGAUCAUGGCUCAGAUUGAACGCUGGCGGCAGGCCUAACACAUGCAAGUCGAACGGUAACAGGAAGCAGCUUGCUGCUUUGCUGACGAGUGGCGGACGGGUGAGUAAUGUCUGGGAAACUGCCUGAUGGAGGGGGAUAACUACUGGAAACGGUGGCUAAUACCGCAUAAUGUCGCAAGACCAAAGAGGGGGACCUUCGGGCCUCUUGCCAUCAGAUGUGCCCAGAUGGGAUU